rnacentral:rRNA from 1 species
CAGUCGCCGCGGUAAUACGAGGGGAGCAAGCGUUGUUCGGAAUUAUUGGGCGUAAAGGGUGCGUAGGCGGCUUGACAAGUCUUGUGUGGAAUCUAUGGGCUCAACCCAUAGUCUGCACGGGAAACUGUCGGGCUUGAGAAUGGGAGGGGUGAGUGGAAUUUCCGGUGUAGCGGUGAAAUGCGUAGAUAUCGGAAGGAACACCUGUGGCGAAAGCGGCUCACUGGACAAUAACUGACGCUGAGGCACGAAAGCUAGGGGAGCAAACAGGAUUAGAUACCCCUGUAGUCCCUGUCUCUUAUAC